GGUGCGCCGGCGGUGACGCAGCGGGCAUGGCCCGCCCCGAGCGGCGCCUGCGCCAACGCGGGGCCUUUGGGGCCAAAGCAGGGCUUUGGGUUGAUUAAAACAACUCCCGCUCUGAGGACAUGAGCUCUGUCUCCACGUUCAGACAAAGGUGACAGUCCACCUCAGUUCCACCUCCAUCCAUCCAUCCAUCCAUCCAUCCAUCCAUCCAUCCAUCCAUCCCUACCUCACAUUAUCUCUGCCAGAGCUCCCAUUAAUUUUGCUCUAAGUAGAAAAGACUACUCGGGAAUACAUAAUAAAAGACAUAAAAUGGGCGUCUUUCUCCUUCACAGAAGGCGGCAGCUGAAGAGCGACCCAAAAAUAAAAUUUUGAUGAUAAAAUGAUACUUGCCAAAAAUCAUCUGCGCUCUACAGCUCUUCCAGAUUUAUCCUGUGAGAUACCCGCAGCCUCAGAGCAGAGUGACAGGAGCCGUUUCACAACACUACAUCACUGAAAGGGCACAUCUCUAAUCAGGACACCAGAACCAAGGGUGCUGUCUCCGAAAAACAGAGAUCAGAGGGUGUUCUUUGUAUUUGAAAAUGGUAUGAUUAACUGAGCACAAAAGAAGUAGCUCCACAAAAGAUUAGGAAAUAGGAUGCAAGAAAUGAUGACAGAAACUCCCAUCUGACAGUGUGAUGACCAUGCCAUAGGAUGAAAAAAGUGGCACUACAACAAUAAGCAGAGCAUGUGUUGCUCAAGGGAUUUCUCUGUGAGCCUUGCAAACAAUACUUCAGGGGUACAGAGCAGCCUCCUUCGCACUGAAAUGCAUUCCUCCCCUGAUGGAAACACCGCCCUGUGCAACAAUCGAGAAAAGGAAGUGCAAAAUUCAGGUUCCAGUUGAAAUUCCAGAUGUUGUUUUCCACGUGUGACAAUGUGCUGCCACAUCUGCUCCUGCAGGCCCCUCAUGGGAGUGGUGGGGAACAAGGCUGGGUGGUGGAGAGGUCACAGAUGUUCUCAUGUGUCACAAUGGCAUGAGUGAAAAAUAUCACCCCUCAGGCUAACACAAAUAAAGUCACAGAAGACUUGGUGCAUCAAAAUCACUGAAAUCACUACCUGACCUGAUGGUUCUGCAUUUGGUUUAAUUUCCAGGACAACUGCAAAGGCUAAAUUCACCUGGAUAAUACAAAGGGUGCAAAGCUGUAGGUGAUAGAGAAAAAUCUGCAGAGAAAAAAUUGCAGUCUUUCUAAGAUGCAGCAAGAUAACAAAGCCCCAGAGAACAUCAUACUGGAGUGUCAAUAUGACAAGGGAAAAAUUACCACAAGCAUCUGCCAGGAUCACUCCUGAGAGAAAAGGAAACAACCACUGAAUGCAUUUCUGCCCAUCUUACGUACAACCCAGAGACUAAAAAGAGCCCCCUGAAAUCUCUUCCCUUGGCCAAAUAGCAGGCACUGCAAUUUCCAUGAUAUCCAAAGAAAAAUAAACUCAGAGCAAUAGCAAAUAUAAAGAAAGAUAUGGAAAAAAUAUACCAGUGUACCAGUGAAAAAAGAUACUAAAUAGCCUCAGAGUUGAAUAGAGUCAUCAUCUAGCAGUUGUUAUGGCAAUAAAGCUUUCCCUUGCAUCUCUAUUCCAGUGCAUUUCCACCCACCCAUUCAAGGUAUUUUGGAGGCACUACCACCAAAAUCGUAUCUCUACUAACUUUCAACUUACAUUUUAGGACCUUCUUACAAACCACUCCAGAGAUGUACCAUGGCUUUUCCUCUUUUCAAAUGCUCCUGAUAUUCCAGAAAUCAGCUUUUUCAUCUCAUGUCCUGGAGAAGAGAAUCUGAGCCUCAUGCUUCUAGAGGUGAAUGUUGUAUAAAACCAAAAUGCAGGACUUUUAAAAUCAUAGCUAAAAAGAAUAGGGGAUAUUAUGUAGCUUUUGCAUGUUUGCCAAACAAUUAAGUUACCCUUCAAAGGGAAGGGGGAGGGGGGCGUCUAAGAACAAGGUUUACAGAACAAGGUUCCUACAAAUUGCAGGCCAGAUUAAUUCUUAACAUUGUUCCACUUACAAUGGGGGAAAUACUCUGUGAAUUAAGAUUUUGUAAAAGACUACUGAUUGCAACAAAAUCGAAUUGUACUCACAGCAUUUCAGGAUGGGAACUCACAUUAGAAACAAAGGGUAGGGGCAGGGGGGACUCCCACCUAGGGAGCAGGAAAUCAGAGAGGAGCAGAUAAUGGUUCCUGGCCAUUAACGCUUUGGGUAACCCUGUUAACCCCGUGGUCACCUCAGCACAGACACUGCCUGUCCUCUCAGGGAGCUGGCUGGGAACAAACUCCCUGGGCUCCCUGUCUGUGCUCAGGAGUGCUGCUGUUACACUCUUUGGCUCUGGUGUUCCACUGCACACAGAUAAAAACAAGAUUUCCUUAUUUUACUGAAGUCCAAGUUGCCUGACAAUGCGUGAAUUAAAUUCACUCAAUCCAUUCCAUAAACUGCCUUCUGUAAACCACUAGUAUUUCCACAUCAUUAUAUGGUAUAUUCAGUAAUCUGAUUGCCCUGGGAAUAUUUGUUUUUCCAAAACUUGUGGCCAAGGUACAUAAGAUUAGAUCAGACACAGCUUGUAUAAGAAUGCUGUUAUGGGGGUGUACAGUAUAUUUGCUAGUUUUGAGUUACAGGUAAAAGUUCUCCUUCAAACUCUUCCAGCCAGGGGUGCAAGCUCAGUUCCCUGAAGUUUUCUGCUGCAGCACUUGGAACCUUUAGUUUUGCUUUGCUCUUGGUGUUCUAAUACUGGAGGAUCAACAGGGAAAAUGCUGGUAUUGCCUCACUGAGGCUACGCCCAGCCCGUACCUCAGCAAAACUUGUGAUAUUUUAUAGGUCCCCACAAGUCUCUCUGGGAUUCACGCUCUUCUGCCGGGAUUUUCUCACCAUUCUGCGUGUUAACAUGAACCAACAGCUGGGUUUAGGAGAUCUGAUAUAAAUAGCAACAUCAUGCUGCGAGCAAGCUUCUUGGAAAGUAAAGAAAAUAUGUUAUUUAAUGCACUCUGGCAUUUGCCUUUCCUCCCCUCAUUCCUAAGAUGCACUUCUGUAAACACCCAUAAUGACAAAUGCAAAGAAGUUGACUUGUUCACAUCGACGUAACAAGUGCUGCCUUGAGCGCAGGAGAUGAUAUCCAGAGCAUUUUACCUCUCCCCUCAGCUGGCAAACCCUGCACAGCGGCGAAAAGAGGCAGAGUGUGGAUGGAAAUUCCUGCUUCCAACAGCAUUCAAGAUUACAACCUUUGGUAUUUUAUUUUCAUGGUUGCUCCAUGUUGCUUCAGAAACUUCCUGCUUUUGCCAUAUCUUUCCAUUCAUUAAAGUUGCAGCUUGCAAUUAAACAUUCUGACAUAACAUAGCUGAGAUUUUUUGGCAGCAGCCUUAACCAGAGGUUUUCAGAGUUUCCUGCAGACGGCUUUAAAUUUUCAUAUCCUCAUGAACGCUUGCCACCUUCUUUUAAUAACUUGAAAAAAUAAGCCUCUCUUAGGAACUUCAUUGUUGCUGUAUUUCCCCAGCACUCGGUUGCUGCUGUUAGCAAUGUGUCGUGCACAUGUAUAUUUAUAGAGGGAGCAAAGUGUUCAUAUGCACUCUAUAGUUUGACAUCUCAUAGGGAACACACAGAUUGCUUAGCAGAUCUAAAGAAAAAUAGUUAUGUUCAAUAUUUUCAUUAUUAAAAUGUAAUUUUCUCUUCUGACAGCAUUGUGUUAUUUCACCCCUCAAAAAUAAUCAUAUUUACUGCAUUAUUCAAAACUUACAGGCCCUCAUCUGUUAAUAAUUUUGUAGCUUUAUACAUAUUAUGACUGUUAUAUAUUGCAACACUAAACUAUUUGUAUUAUUUUUAUGCAACAAAAUAUUUCUUAGGAUAAAUCUUGACCUUUUUCCAAGGAGCUGGAAAUCACUUAAAAGGACUUUAAAGCUAUUUGUAUUUUUAAGGUGUAGAAUAUCUUUUAUAAUUUGGAGAGCUGUUCAAAUACUGCUUGCCAUUAUCUCCAAUAUAGAUUUGGAAUUUCUUUUAAAGGGGGUCUUUUUAAGGUUCAGACUGACCUUAAAGUCUUUUUUCUUCUAACAUUACCUGGCAAAUAAAUUCUUAAAGGGAUAUUAUCAACUUAAGACCUAUGCUUUAGUCUGGAAAAAUUUCCAAGAGAUUAAAGAGAAAAUGGCUCCUUUUUUCUAUACGUUUAAUUUCUAUAUUGGAGAGCAGUAUGUGUGGUCAGUAUCUCAUGCUGUUAGGAAACAAAAGGGACAGAAAUAGAUAUAGGAGACCAUAAUACCUGAAACGUUUUUGAACUACUUUUUUAAAGCAGAUUUGAAGUUGAUGGGGCCUCUUCAAGUGACAAAAGACUUGUGGAACUCUUGAAAGCCAGAUAAGUUGCGCCUGACUUGUGCAGAGCACCCUCAGCUCCCUCUGCAAUCAGCUAAAGCUGCUCUUAAAAUGCAAGUUUAAGUGUUAUUUUUCCUGCAUUUUGUCUGCUUCACUGUCAACUCACUGACCAAACUGCAAUACAAAAAGGCACCAUUUUUACCCUGAUCUGGUAGCCUUCAUAUCCAGAGCCUACAGUGGUUCUGCAGGAUCUGUUAGCGUGUACAAGGCACAACAAAGAAACUUUUAAAGGAGUUAACUUAUGGAAUAAAGUUUAAUUUUUAAACUUGGGCA